GUUUAGUUUCCAGACCAUCAUUAAAGUUCUAUAACCUUGUCUUUCUUCGAUUGCAACAACGCACUAUGAUAACGGUAACUAAGUAGUAAGUAAACCUCUUAUAAUAACAUCUUCACUAGCUAGCUUUGAUCUCUAAUGAUACAUAUAAUUAUAUUUACAUGAGAGUUGCUUGUCACGCAAUCUUUGUAUUAAUGAAGUGUACGUUUUUUACACUAUCGUGCAUUAUAUUUACGUUCAAACGUAGUUAUAUACAACACUCA